AAAUUACUUAAAUUCUUAAACUUGAACAAAGUUUUAUGCUGUGAGUUAUUCUAAUUUAAGUUCUUACCACCCCAGACUUGGGGUUCUUGGUUGGAGCUGAGACCUAAUAUAAGAAUCUGGCAGCUUCGUGACUUCUACCUUGAGAUCCCGAUACCAACACUUCCACUUCGGAGAUCCGCGGCCGACGCAACUAUCUACAACAUCACGAACAGCGAAAAUCGUCCACGUACCAGUGGUUACCAAAUGUUCCACAUCGGACCUAAGGCUCAGGGAAGUGCGGUGUAACUGAAAUUUAUAUUGUAAAUGUGCACAACCGACCUAGGCGCGAUCACCCAAGUACCCUCCUUCAACUUAAAAAACUUAAAUUCCUUCGACUUAAGAAACUUAAAUUUUGUAAAUAUUAGGUAAUAAUAAAUAGUUAAAAUCUA